rnacentral:rRNA from 1 species
AGUGAACGCUGGCGGUAGGCCUAACACAUGCAAGUCGAACGGCAGCACAGUAAGAGCUUGCUCUUACGGGUGGCGAGUGGCGGACGGGUGAGGAAUACAUCGGAAUCUACUUUUUCGUGGGGGAUAACGUAGGGAAACUUACGCUAAUACCGCAUACGACCUACGGGUGAAAGCAGGGGAUCUUCGGACCUUGCGCGAUUGAAUGAGCCGAUGUCGGAUUAGCUAGUUGGCGGGGUAAAGGCCCACCAAGGCGACGAUCCGUAGCUGGUCUGAGAGGAUGAUCGGCCACACUGGAACUGAGACACGGUCCAGACUCCUACGGGAGGCAGCAGUGGGGAAUAUUGGACAAUGGGCGCAAGCCUGAUCCAGCCAUACCGCGUGGGUGAAGGAGGCCUUCUGGUUGUAAAGCCCUUUUGUUGGGAAAGAAAAGCAGCAGGUUAAUACCCCGCUGUUCUGACGGUACCCAAAGAAUAAGCACCGGCUAACUUCGUG